ACGGAGGGUGCAAGCGUUAUCCGGAUUUAUUGGGUUUAAAGGGUGCGUAGGCGGGGUAUUAAGUCAGUGGUGAAAUCUUUCGGCUCAACCGAGAAACUGCCAUUGAUACUGAUACUCUUGAAUUUGGUUGAAGUAGGCGGAAUGAGGCAUGUAGCGGUGAAAUGCAUAGAUAUGCCUCAGAACACCGAUUGCGAAGGCAGCUUACUAAGUCAAUAUUGACGCUGAGGCACGAAAGCGUGGGUAGCGAACAGG
rnacentral:rRNA from 1 species